CGUAAAGCUCUGUUGCAGGGAAGAACAAGUGCAAGAGUAACUGCUUGCACCUUGACGGUACCUAACCAGAAAGCCACGGCUAACUACGUGCCAGCAGCCGCGGUAAUACGUAGGUGGCAAGCGUUGUCCGGAAUUAUUGGGCGUAAAGGGCUCGCAGGCGGUUUCUUAAGUCUGAUGUGAAAGCCCCCGGCUCAACCGGGGAGGGUCAUUGGAAACUGGGAAACUUGAGUGCAGAAGAGGAGAGUGGAAUUCCACGUGUAGCGGUGAAAUGCGUAGAGAUGUGGAGGAACACCAGUGGCGAAGGCGACUCUCUGGUCUGUAACUGACGCUGAGGAGCGAAAGCGUGGGGAGCGAACAGGAUUAGAUACCCUGGUAGUCCACGCCGUAAACGAUGAGUGCUAAGUGUUAGGGGGUUUCCGCCCCUUAGUGCUGCAGCUAACGCAUUAAGCACUCCGCCUGGGGAGUACGGUCGCAAGACUGAAACUCAAAGGAAUUGACGGGGGCCCGCACAAGCGGUGGAGCAUGUGGUUUAAUUCGAAGCAACGCGAAGAACCUUACCAGGUCUUGACAUCCUCUGACAACCCUAGAGAUAGGGCUUUCCCUUCGGGGACAGAGUGACAGGUGGUGCAUGGUUGUCGUCAGCUCGUGUCGUGAGAUGUUGGGUUAAGUCCCGCAACGAGC
rnacentral:rRNA from 1 species